AGGCCCCUGCGCGGUUAGUGAUGAGCGAAACUAUUCUUGAACCAACACCUAUUUGAUGGGUGCCGCGGUCCCACCCCGCUGAUCGAGCCCCACGGCGAGUGAUGCGGGGCGGGCAGGUACCCAACCUGUGGUCAGCAGGUUCAAAUGGGGUUGCUCACACGGCCGAGUGCGGGGGCCUC
rnacentral:other from 2 species